CUCCCAGCACUCCACCUCCCAAGGCUUUAGGUUUAUUCCCUCCGUGUUAGGAACCUGGUCCGAGGUGUUAUCUAUCCCAGCUAAUUCAGUUCCCACAUCUGCCCCUACUCUUCAAAUUGAAAAGACCUUCAGUUAAGAUUUCUGAAAAAUCCUUAACAGACAACUUUUAAAACAGGGUGGCAACAUAAAAACAACUACAAAAAUCAGUAAACUUGUUUUGACUAAAGAUAGCGUCCAACUAGAUAAGUUCUCUUUCCUGAAUAGUUCAUUGAACUCCUUCCUUGAGAAUUGUGUAGGGACUCACUGUGGUCUGAAAGAUUCAUGUAGCUCAUGCCUCCAAAAUCUUCACAACUAUAUCCUUGGGCUAAUAGCAGGAAGUUUAUUGCAAUUCUGUUCUGUAGGGUGGCAUACCUGAUGCUGUUAACAUGCAGCAAUAGCUUAGUCAGUUCUCAGGACAGCAUUGGUUUGCCUACUCAGCCAGCACCCAAGAUCAUCCAGCAUUUUUAAAGCUUUUGCUCCAGCAACCCCAGGUGCCAGUAUUGAGGCUGCUAUUCUCUUUCCUUUACUUCAAAAGUUAAUCUCAUCUUUGCAAUCAGAUUCAAAUUGGAUUCAAUGGACAAAUCUCUUAUGCCUAUUUUUUUAGUCACGAAUUAUGGAAAUCUCAGGUGCUAGCACAGAAAGCCUUCUCAAGCUACAUGGUCUGCCCUUAAGGUGAGAUGGAAUGGCAGGCCAUGCUCUGUCUCCACAAAUGAGAAAUGUUACAGAUGGUAACUGUAAUGAGAAAUCACUGGACCAGGUUUAAGUGAGGAGUAUUGCAUGGAUCAGGAUGGGUACAGCAAGCAGGAGUCCCUUAGGGAGUCAUGUCUGGUGGAAUAACCUGCGGAUAGGACUUUAAAUACUAAUAAUGCUUAUAGAGCUAAGAAACUGGUGGUAUUAAUCAGCAGUGGUUAAGAGACAAGAGAAGGCUAUCCAAAAGCCUCAAGGUAUCUUUUCUGCAGAUUCUUCCUGGGGUUCUUCCUGUUAAACUUCUUGGUGUUCCUGUUGAAGCUGCAAAUAUGACUUGAUAUUUUUUUCUGGAACCCAGAGAGAUCCUUUAUCUGUAGAGACACAAGCAUAUCCCUUCCCCCAGAAAAUCAGUGGGAAAGGCCCUAAAAUUUUGCUGGUUUCUAGAUCUCUAGUUAGGACUAGGUCUCUCUUUUAACUGUGCUUGUGUGAUAUUGGAAAAAUGUCUAAUAACUGGGGUGUUAAGCUCCAUAAAUGAGUUGUUCAAGAAAUUAAAAACAUAUGUAGCAUUACUGAGCCUCCCUGUAGUGGUCAUGGUCUCCAUUUUUCUUUUUCUUGGUCUCCUAAAAAUAGAACAAUCAUCUACAUGAAACUGAACAGAACAAACUAAAAUUAAAACUAUCCUCAUAGGUCUGUGGGGGGGUCCCAACCAAACUUAUUACCUCUUCCUUCUGUUGGACUAAAAACAACGAACAUAAAGAAUUCCUAAAAACUUUUAACAUACAGCUUAACAACAUGGUAAUAACAUUAACAUUAUAACAAUAACUAAAAAUAUUAACAAACUUGUAAACUUACAAACUGUUAUCUAACUGCACAAACACUUUCCCUACUAAACCAAAUUAGUAGCUCUAUGUUUGCUUUCUUUUCAAGACUUUUCCAUGUUUCAGUGAAGUUACCUUCGGUCUGAAAGGGGUUGGCAACAUCAUGUAUACUACCCCCCUACCAGGCAACCAACUGGGUCAUUCACAGGGUAUGAGAAGUCUAUGCCUUGGGUUUUACUCUGCAUAUUUAAUAGGUUUCUUGUCACUGUUGUUUCAAUAAGCUUCUAAGCUUUUAGAGCUUUGUUUGUACCCUUGGCUGGUUUGCCUAGAUUUGUUAAUUUGCCAGAUAAACCGGAAAUAGCCAACAGCUCCCAUCCUUGAAUAAUACGUUAACACAAUUUUUAAAUGACUGAGAACAAAACUUAAUUUUAGAUUUGGAAGUCACACAACUAAAACUGUAAGAUUUGUGGAAGAGGAAAAAAAGACAUUAAUAUUUAUUUUUCUUUUGAGGGCAUAAACAACCCAGCAAGUCUCUGUGAAUUUUAUACAGGAAAAAUUCUGAAGUUAAAUCAAGAUCUUAAAUAUUACACAGUAUUAUACUGAAAUUCAAUGCGCAUUUGAAACUACAGUGUCUGGGACACCCCUUCCUGCUGCCCCCUGGCCUGGUCUUUCCAGCACAUCUGUAAUGCACCUGACUGGGCUGCAGACAGCGGCUGCAGGAUUUGUCGGCGGUGGCGCCGGGCCCGAGCCCCUGCAGGAGCGCAGCUCUGCUCUGCUCUGUUUAAUAUUGGCCUGGCUGCACCAUGGGCCCACCCCACUGCAGCUGCAGGAAGAAGAGACAAGAUUCUUGGCAGCCAUCGGAAGACCGCCUGGCACUGCGGGCCAGGGUAGCAGCGGCAGCCGGGGGCAGACCGCGGAUGAGGCGCUCACUCGCUGCUGGUGGCUGGAGCGGCACGGUUGGGCCACCCGUGCCCCCCGAGCGACAGCGGCAGUGCCCCGGGACUGCAAAGCUGUGCCGCUGAAAGGGGGGAGAUGGUCACCAUCUGUCCGUGGCUGGGGUCCCCUGGUCCCGGCACGGUGGCCACCGGCCACGGCUCGGUGUCGGGGAGCAGCCUGAGCAGCCUUUUCAGCCCCCUGUUCCACUCCAGGGCAGUCCGAGGGGCAAGAAGGAUGAGAACACGAAAGGACCGGAGUUGCAAAUUGCACGGGCUCCAGUGUACAUGGAAAUCUUCAUCUGACGAGAUUACAGUGAUAUGCGCCAAAACCAGCAUGAAUAUUCGUCUGUAGAAAGUGUAUUCCAAGGGAUUUGUCAGGCACCACGAUAAGGAGAGGCACAUGUACCAACAUGCAAAAGAAGACAAGACCAACAGAAGAAGGCAAAGGACCCCCGAAAAGCCUGGGAACAUAUAAAAAGGACCUUGUGAUAGUCACAUUUUGUGAAACACAGUGGAGCGGUGCCAGACAGGCCCCCCCCCCAUCUCACCAGGAACUGUUAGCCUGUUUCAGUGCCGAUCUGAUUUUUUUGCU